UUAAUUAUUAUUAGGGUUUCUUGGAAAACUAGUCACUUUGCAAUCCAGGUGUAUAAAUCAAACACUUAAAAAUGACUACUUUGCAAAUUGUAAAUAGUAAUAUGACUACUUUCCCAAAUAUGUUUGA
rnacentral:sRNA from 1 species